UUAGAAGUCUUCUAGCGCCUUAGUGAUAAGUAAGUAGUUUUUUUUCUGGUCAGUUUAAAAGCCCUUGAGGCUGGAAAAAGGGUGUUUCAUCCGAGGUGCUGUUCAAUAUGAAACCUGGACCAGUGAUGUUUCAAUAUCUAUACAGCUAUCAGAGUGAAGCAUUGCCUUUCUCUUUGUAUUUCCCUCCAGUAUAAUCUUGGAAGCUGACUCCAAUGCUGUGGUACAGAGGGUGGCUAUCCGAUCAGAUGACAUACCUCUAGGAGAACAAACAGUUGCCCAGGUCAUACAGUCUGCAAAGGAACAGAUCAAGUGGUCAUUACUAAAAUGAACACUGUAGCAUUAUGUUAUGUGUAGUAAAGAAACGUUGAUGGGAAAGAGGACCAAUGUGACAUGAAUUUGCAUUGGACUGAGAGUAAUUUAAGAGAGAGUAAAAAAUGCAUUGGUGUUUCAGGAUGCAAGAUAAUACUUUUUGAAGGAAAACUGUGAAAUAAGGAAGGGUUUGGUGGCUGUUGUCUAUGUUACUCUCCAUUUGGAAUGACCAAAAGCAUGUUUAUACAUGAUGAUAUAUGUUGAUCAGAAUCCUUUUAUUGUGAGCUGUUACUAGAGUAUUUCAAAUAACUACAGCGAUGCUAUUAACCAGCAGUUUAGAUUGAACAGGUUCCCAGGAUGUGUGAUUUUCUUUAGAGGUAUUCACAUAUAGAAAGUGUGACAGUAAUGUGACGUCUUUCUCUGGCACUGUUGUCUUGUUCUGUGUCUCCUAUGUAUAUCAUCCAUGGUUAUCUUCAUGAAGUAUUUAUCAGAGGGGAUAAUUCAACAAUUUCCAUGAACAUGAAAGUAAAGGAACCAUGUGAUAAAUCAUGAAUCACAAGUUCUUGUGUUUGCAUCAUGCAUGUAAAUCCUGUUGUAUAGUAGGGGACUCUCUUCGGCUCAGUCUCCACCAUAGGGCAGAAUUAUUGCUCAGCUGAUGUGGAGUUCAGCCAUAAUCAAUCUGUGGUGGGAUCAUCAGUCGGUCAUGGGCUCAGUCAAGUACAAGUUGUACUUGUCUGAAUAGGACACAGACAAUUCCAGCUUUCACCUGUUUGUCUAGGUAUUUGGUAACGAGAUUUGUCAUGUAACUAGAAAAGGUCAUUGCUUUACACAAUACGCCAUACUCAGCUACUGGCCAUAAAAUUGUGAUGUUCUACACCAGUAAAUUACAAUAGUUUAUAAGUAUGUAAGCAGCAUUGGCAGAGGCAAGGUAGAAAGCUAUUUUCACAAGUUAUGGUGAUAGUCAUUGUUUAAAAGAUUGCUGCAAAGUAAAUGAGAAACAAUAAUUAAUAUUUAAGCUAAUAAUACUGAAAUAUAUAAACAUGGAA